GACGAACGCUGGCGGCGUGCUUAACACAUGCAAGUCGAACGCUGAAGCUCAGCUUUUGUUGGGUGGAUGAGUGGCGAACGGGUGAGUAACACGUGAGUAACCUGCCCCCUUCUUUGGGAUAACGCCCGGAAACGGGUGCUAAUACUGGAUAUUCACUGGUCUUCGCAUGGGGGUUGGUGGAAAGGGUUUUUCUGGUGGGGGAUGGGCUCGCGGCCUAUCAGCUUGUUGGUGGGGUGAUGGCCUACCAAGGCUUUGACGGGUAGCCGGCCUGAGAGGGUGACCGGUCACAUUGGGACUGAGGUACGGCCCAGACUCCUACGGGAGGCAGCAGUGGGGAAUAUUGCACAAUGGGCGCAAGCCUGAUGCAGCGACGCCGCGUGAGGGAUGGAGGCCUUCGGGUUGUGAACCUCUUUCGCUCAUGGUCAAGCCGCAACAAUGGUUGUGGUGAGGGUAGUGGGUAAAGAAGCGCCGGCUAACUACGUG
rnacentral:rRNA from 1 species